UACGUAGGGGGCAAGCGUUGUCCGGAUUCAUUGGGCGUAAAGCGCGUGUAGGCGGCCAGGUAGGUCCGACGUGAAAACUGGAGGCUCAACCUCCAGCUGUCGUUGGAAACCAUCUGGCUAGAGUCCGGAAGAGGAGAGUGGAAUUCCUGGUGUAGCGGUGAAAUGCGCAGAUAUCAGGAAGAACACCAAUGGCGAAGGCAGCCCUCUGGGACGGUACUGACGCUGAGACGCGAAAGCGUGGGGAGCGAACAGG
rnacentral:rRNA from 1 species